GACGAACGCUGGCGGCGUGCUUAACACAUGCAAGUCGAACGAUGAAGCCGGAGCUUGCUCUGGUGAAUUAGUGGCGAACGGGUGAGUAACACGUGAGUAACCUGCCCUUGACUCUGGGAUAACUGCGGGAAACUGUAGCUAAUACCGGAUACGACCCUCGGAGGCAUCUCCUGGGGGUGGAAAGAAUUUCGGUCAAGGAUGGACUCGCGGCCUAUUAGCUAGUUGGUGAGGUAAAGGCUCACCAAGGCGGCGACGGGUAGCCGGCCUGAGAGGGUGACCGGCCACACUGGGACUGGGACACGGCCCAGACUCCUACGGGAGGCAGCAGUGGGGAAUAUUGCACAAUGGGCGCAAGCCUGAUGCAGCAACGCCGCGUGAGGGAUGACGGCCUUCGGGUUGUAAACCUCUUUUAGCAGGGACGAUAAUGACGGUACCGGAAGAAGAAGCCCCGGCUAACUUCGUGCCAGCAGCCGCGGUAA
rnacentral:rRNA from 1 species